GACGAACGCUGGCGGCGCGCCUAACACAUGCAAGUCGAACGAGAGAUGAGGAGCUUGCUCUUCAAAUCGAGUGGCGAACGGGUGAGUAACGCGUGAGGAACCUGCCUCAAAGAGGGGGGACAACAGUUGGAAACGACUGCUAAUACCGCAUAAGCCCACGACCCGGCAUCGGGUUNAGGGAAAAGGAGCAAUCCGCUUUGAGAUGGCCUCGCGUCCGAUUAGCUAGUUGGUGAGGUAACGGCCCACCAAGGCAACGAUCGGUAGCCGGACUGAGAGGUUGAACGGCCACAUUGGGACUGAGACACGGCCCAGACUCCUACGGGAGGCAGCAGUGGGGAAUAUUGCACAAUGGGGGAAACCCUGAUGCAGCGACGCCGCGUGGAGGAAGAAGGUCUUCGGAUUGUAAACUCCUGUGUUGAGGAAGAUAAUGACGGUACUCAACAAGGAA
rnacentral:rRNA from 1 species